rnacentral:misc_RNA from 1 species
UCCCCGUUACCGGGGCAGUCCAAGUAGAAAAAUACAACUAUUCACAAGGGUUGCGCUCGUUGAAGGACUUAACCUAACAUCUCACGACACGAGCUGACGACGGCCAUGCAACACCUGUCACUUGGUUCCGAAGCACUUUCUACUUUCAUAGAAAUUCCAAGGAUGUCAAACCCUGGUAAGGUUUAUCGGUUAUCAUCGAAUUAAAGAACAUAAUCCACCGCUUGUGCUGAUCCCCGUCAAUUCCUUUAUGUUUUAGUCUUGCGACCGUACUCCACAGGCGGGAUACUUAACGCGUUAGCUUCGCUACUGAAGGGGUCGAUACCUCCAACAGCUAGUAUCCAUCGUUUACGGCGUGGACUAC